UUCAUCCUUCUAUAAAUGGAUUGUCAACUAUGGUCAUUGAGGUGUACUUGUGUACAUCACCAUUGUAUCAACUUUAGGUGGUACAUGUUGGAAUAAAUAGUACCUAUCGUAUGUAGCUGAGCAGCGUUCCCUGGCGCCUGCGGACUGCGGCGGUGGGUGGAGAUGGCCCCGAGCCACGGAGCCGUCUCUCUCCUUUAAUGGCCUCGCUCCCCGGUCGGGACACAGCCGAAGUUAUUCCUUCUUCACCAGGAAUGUUUUAUCCGGAGCGCUCCUAUAAACCGCCGUCUUGUUGGGUUCUGUUGAGUUGCGCAUUACGAUACGGUGGUCCCGUUGAGGCAUCGGAGAACGGCAGUACUUGGGGGGGGGGGGGGGGGGGGGGGGGGGAGAGAGAAUGUAUUCCUCCUUCCAGAUAAUUGACCCUUAACAGAAGAGCUGGGAUUUUUAUUUUUUAUUUGUAAUAAUGUGCUCGGCUUGAGAAACGAAGGGGUCUAGGGUUUUGAUUGCCUUAUCCACCUAAAACAACAUGUUCUCCUUACUCUAUUGGAUUCUGGGGAGCGUUAAAUAAUGAAUCCAGCAGCUGAGACUGCUGCAUGCAGAACGUCUCCCUGACGGCCCUGCUGGGAUCCGAUGUUACAGAGAGCUCACCAGCUCUCCUGCAUUUGUACAGAUGAUUCGUUUAAAAAAAAACGAGAAAUCUUUAUCUUCAGGGGCUUGCAUUGUUUUUCAGAGUUUAUUUAUAUAAACCUUUUUGGUUUGCAUUUUCUUUUCUAAUUUUUGUUCCUGUGGUUUGUAACUGUCAGCACUGUAGUGUACAUAAUAUUUUUUGUAAACAGGAAAAACGUAGUAAUGUGAUUUAUACUUUAAAUAUAUGAGCCUAGUUAAUAAAAGGUUCCAAUAUGGCUGCGUGUGUGUGCGUGUGUGUGUGUGGGGGGGGUAUUGUGUAAGACUCUUAACCUCAAUGUCUUCCUGCCUCAUGUUGUGGUAUAACUUACUGAUAAUACUUGCUUGACUUCAGUCUACCAGCCUACCCAGUGGACUGUACAACACCUGACAGAACACAGAACCUUCUAUUCACCACCCUCACCGCUUGUGAGUUCAGACAUAAGAAGAGACAUCCUUAAAACGGAAAUAUUAGAUUCCACCAUAUUUUAUUAUAGCCCACGUUUUUGGUUCUCUGAAUUCAAUAAUCGUCAUCAAUAGUGUUGAUGUGUUUUUUUAAUAGAUACUUAGUCACUGAAUUGUUUAUGUUGGAUUGUUGUUUAUAUUACAUGUGUAUUCAUGAGCUUAUAGUACUACCCUUGGGCACUGGUUUAAUAAGCUGCCUAAAGAGAUAACGUUAUGUACACUGGACAAUUUAUUCAAUCAUAUUCUGACCAAUGCCCAAUAUUUUAUGUCAAUGUUAUUUUCCUUCUUGAAAUUAAAAUUAUUGAGCAAGAUAGGCCAAAACAAUGUUACAGGGGGAAAGAAAGUAUGGAUUUCACAAAAAUUGACAAGUUUCCAUAACCUCCCCUCGGGAAUAGAUAAUACAUGCUGUUUAAAUCACGGCCCUAAGGUUUAAAGAGACAACUCCUUAAUGAACACUGAUUAAAUGAAUACACGCAACCCCCACAGGAAAAGGUAUUGGCAUUAUCUGUAUCACUUAUUUCAGUAAGUCCAUUGAACAUAGUCAUUCCCCACGUCAGACAGCAUCAACUCUCCUUACAGGCUCACCUCUAUGUACAGGUACAUUUUCUCUUACGUUGGACAUUAGUGCAAAGACGCAAUAAACAGCUUAUAUAUUCACAGCAGCUCAGAGUUCAACAUUUACAUAGCACAAGGUCAACAGCACCUUGCUUGUAGUUCAAAGAGUAUUGAAUGAUUGGGCUGGUUAUUGGCCUACUUCAAGAUGGAGGAUUAUCUUAAUGGUACAAGUACAAAAACAGUUCAGUUAGACCUAAGAUUAUUUUAGUAUGUAUCAAAAACAUACUACAUCUAUCAUCGAACAGCUAAAAGUAUAAAAAGGCUUUUAAGUUGUUUCAUGGUAUAGACAAUAGGCCCCUGGCGCCACGUUCCACAUCACAUGCAAGGUUCCAC